CUCUUUUCCUAAAUCUUGCUUCUCACUCAAAAAUUGCUGCUGCUGGAUAUCUCCCAUCAGCUUUCUUUGCUGAUUCACUUCAUGGAGCUUUAUCUUCCUCACCUGGAGCCACCCCCGCAGCUGUCAGCAUGGACGGCGGCUUGUCUGUGUCCUCAGACGCCUCUUCGGUCGCCUAGGCUUGUAAAGGGCGGCGGUGGCGUCCGUGCAGUUUCUUUGGUCGUUGUUUUCACCUCCUGCGGACCUGCAGCCCUAUUGCAUCUAGCUUGAGUAUGAGAUUGUUAGCUAUGUUUUCUUUCACAAGUGCACAAAGCAGACACAUCGUUUCUAUUUCUGUUCGAGGUAGCCCGGCACAUCAUCCUCAUCCUUCAUAGCGGUAACAUUCUUCAAAGUUCGACCUGAAGAUGAAGUUGUUGGCAUUACAACAGGAACCCACUAUCGAAUUUGAGAUUGUACUUACUUGAUAUGGUCUGACUGCUCGACGGAGCUCGCUUGUGCCCGCUGGAGGAAGACAAUUCUGAAGUGCCACUGGUUGGGGGAAGUUGACCUCAAAGUGUUGUUCGUCGGAGGAAGAUAAUGUAGAAAUUGUACCCUAAAACCUAGAGGACAAUGAGCCUCCGAGGCUUUGCAGAUUGAACUUACUUGAUAUGGUCUGAUUGCUCGACGGAGCUGACUUGUGCCCGCUGGAGGAAGACAAUUCUGAAGUGCCACUGGUUCGGGGAAGUUGACCUCAAAGUGUUGUUCGCCGGAGGAAGAUGAUGUAGAAAUUGUACCCUAAAACCUAGAGGACAAUGAACCUCUGAGGCCGUGGAAGCAUUGCAUGGGGAAGGUAGUCUAGGGAUGGCUGAGUUUACCAAGUUUGCACGAUGGAAAGAGAGAUAUUUUGUUUGCAGAGAUUGAAUCUUUGUACAUUAUUGAUGAUAGUUUGGAUUUGUUUGGGGAUAUUGUACAUGCAUGCGUCAGUUUUUUUGGA